rnacentral:rRNA from 1 species
AACGUAGGUGGCGAGCGUUAUCCGGAUUUACUGGGCGUAAAGCGUGUGCAGGUGGACGGUUAAGUGGUGUAUGAAAUCGCCGCGCUCAACGUGGCGGGGUUAUGCCAGACUGGCCGACUAGAGGUCGAGAGAGGGAUGUGGAAUUCCGGGGUGUAAUGGUGAAAUGCGUAGAGAUCCGGAGGAACCCCAGAGGCGAAGGCGGCGUCCUGGCUCGGAACCUGACACUCAGACACGACAGCAUGGGGGAGCGAACGGGG